UUUUCAGAAUGUUUCACCACUCUUUCCAACAACUCAAGUCAACAGGGGUUGCUAAUGCAGAGCUCAAAUGCGCUCUGAGCCCAGUUUCUUCUCUUUCCGAGGUUGAGUGGCAUCAGUCCAGGCAGCCCGUUGUCUUGGAGAGUGAGCCGCGUCACACACAUUUCCAUGUUACUGUGCAGCUUGCUGGGCCUCGUAGUCAGCAGGGAGGCUUAUUAGAACCUCGGGUUUAUCGAUGGCUUUGUGUGGGGUGUGCCUUCGAAUCUGGAGGGCACCGUGAAGUCCUCUUCCAAAUACAGGGUCAGGGUAUGGAUUUCCCUCAAUGACAGAGCAAGAAUGCAAGAACGGAAUGACAGCAGAGAAAGGGACUCGGAGUCCAUCCCAGGAUGCGCAUGCAGAGUGCGCUGGCCAGCAGUUUCCUGUCAGCUGCGUCCAUCCACAGGAGAGCAGAGAGGGCCGGGAGCGCUGGCAGCUUCUGCCAAAAUCCACCAGCUUUGAGGCUGAGGUCUGCAGCUGUCUUGGUUUUCACCAUGUCCACAUGUGCUUGCUGAGAGACAAAACAGAAUACAGCAUUUAAUUUACUUUCCAGAAUUCAUAUAAAUAUGAAAGAAGAUACUGGGUCACAGCAAUGAAGAGCAGACUAAAGCAAUGCCUGUUUGAAAGCAUGGAUUGAGGAAGGCUCCAGGUCUGGCUAAAGACACAGCGACAGAGACAACUGAGAAGUCGUCAGCCCUCCUUGCGAGAUUUCCGGGCCAGGGGCACGUGGGGAACAGGGCAGAGCCCUGCUAGUGGGGCCAGCCGGCUCUUCAGAGGGGCAGUCGGAGGGGCUUGACCCGGGCCAGGUCGGACCCAUUCAUGCCAGGAGGGGAGCGAUCUGAGCCUGAGGGCCGAAGUGGAGAGUGACUUCACUUCCGGUCUCUGGGAACACUGUGUCCCGAAUUGUGUGUGGCAGGUUUGUGUGCAGCAACCCCAUUAGACAGUGCAAUGGAAGAAUGGGCCAGAUGUUAAAACACAGAGAGCCGCCAGGUCUUGUCUCUUCCUGGACACGCACGCUGGACCUGCUACUGCUCAUGCAGCGUUCCCAGAGGGCGCGAGACACCAGCCAGUCACCUGGCUUCUCCACCGAGUCCACCGAGUAAUCUGGCGACAGCGGGGUGAGGAUGUGCAAAGCUGGAUUUGAGGUGACUGCUGGAGUGGAAGUCUGGACCACGGAGUGUGCAAAGAAUGGAAACAAAGGUCCAAUGCCAAGUCCCGGGCCGCAGUAAUUAAAACCCAGGGAAAUCACAGGACACGCCUUCAAACUGCGGAACAGAUUCAUCUCAGGAAAGCUUUCAGAAUGUGUCUGUUGAACGCACAUUUUCUUUUGCAGUUUUCCCUACAGUAAACAUCACAAUAAUUGAGUGUUUGCUGCUGGGAGGCCUCUCUUUUUGUGAGCUAAUAAAAGCCUUUCAGUGUUACAUUCGAAGAGAAUAUAAGUAAAAAGCAGUCACACACGAUUAGCCCUGCCCACUGCCAAGAGGUUAAUUGCGCCAUUUCCCUUCACUUCAGAGUUGGGACAGUGGGUCUUUGCAGGAACAGAAGCCCAAAUGAGGCAAAGGCCGAGCGAUGCCAUGCAUAUAAACAGAACCUUGAGGGCUGGAGGGGGGAGGGGUGCUGGACAGAGCCUCUUGGGGUCCCUCUCCGCCCACGGUCUGCCCUCAGAGGGAGUCCAUAGCUCCUGGGUCACUUUGGGGGCGGUGGAUGUGCUUACACCCAUCACCCCUCCCACCCGUCCUGUUGGGGAACACUCCAUUCUGCGGUGACACGUGGCUGCCUGUGAUAGGAGGACUGCUCUAGUUGGCUGGCUGGGGAUCCUGGAACCAGCUUCCUCCAUCUUCUUUUCCUCUCUGGGGUGCCCUGACCAGUGUUUGCUUUCUCUGAAAAGAGAGCAGUUUCUUCUGAUGAAAUCAACAGUUUCCUCUGCACG